GGAGUUGAACUGCAAGCUCUGGGGAUUCAGCUGAUGAGUAUGAUUUGUGCUUGGGCAUACUGGCCGCCUUUGGUGUCUGUUUUUAAGAGCAGGUGCCUACCUUAUAUAAAUGGGGUGGGUAUGUGUAGGCGUUUUUAUACGUCGCACGCAUUGAAGGUGUGAGGGUCUGCUUGUCAGUGCACUUUCUCAGAGUGUUCACCACGACCGGCACUGCUGCCUUUCUACUAUGGCCAAACUGAUCUGGUCUGACUAUUAUUGUUGGGCUGGGUUGGGUCGGCAGGUGACUUUUUGGUUCGUAAUUAAUUUUAUGGGCCAUGAGUGUUACUAACCGGCUGUAGUGGAUUUGUGUAGUGUGUCGGAGACGGCGGCUUUGCAUGCGUGCUUAGUCCUUCGGGCAUUAUUGAGUCUGGUCGGCAUGUUGCUAGCUUCGGUUAGUCUGCUGAUGGCUUGAUUUUGUUGCGUUGGCGGUUGCGUGUGUAGGUUUUGAUUGGGCCAAU
rnacentral:rRNA from 1 species